rnacentral:misc_RNA from 1 species
AACGCAACUGGCUCCGGUUUACCGGCAUUCCUGUUUCAGUGUGCUAGGAGAGUAAACUAUCAUUAUAAAAUAUAAUGCGAUUGAGGUACAUUUAUGUUCUUCUUUCGUUAAAUAUGAAGGUGAGAAAGAUGAGUAAUCUCUCACACUGGCAAACGAAGUAGUCAUGCUUGUUCGUGAUCUCGUUUAUCCAGUGCUAAAGGUUAUUGCUUAGCUAUAAAUCACAUCUAAUCAAUUAAAUAGCUCAAAAUUUGGCAUCUGAAAUCAGAAAAAGAUACCCGCUGAACUUAA